AACGAACGCUGGCGGCAGGCCUAACACAUGCAAGUCGAGCGCCCCGCAAGGGGAGCGGCGGACGGGUGAGUAACGCGUGGGAAUAUGCCCUUUGCUACGGAAUAGUCUCGGGAAACUGGGGGUAAUACCGUAUACGCCCUUUGGGGGAAAGAGUUAUCGGCGAAGGAUUAGCCCGCGUUGGAUUAGGUAGUUGGUGGGGUAAUGGCCUACCAAGGCGACGAUCCAUAGCUGGUUUGAGAGGAUGAUCAGCCACACUGGGACUGAGACACGGCCCAGACUCCUACGGGAGGCAGCAGUGGGGAAUCUUAGACAAUGGGGGCAACCCUGAUCUAGCCAUGCCGCGUGAGUGAUGAAGGCCUUAGGGUUGUAAAGCUCUUUCAGCUGGGAAGAUAAUGACGGUACCAGCAGAAGAAGCCCCGGCUAACUCCGUG
rnacentral:rRNA from 1 species